UGGCUUAUCCUGGAGUUGCCCAAAGCC
rnacentral:piRNA from 1 species